rnacentral:rRNA from 1 species
AGAGUUUGAUCCUGGCUCAGGACGAACGCUGGCGGCGUGCUUAACACAUGCAAGUCGAACGGUGAAGCCGGGUUUUUGCCUGGUGGAUGAGUGGCGAACGGGUGAGUAACACGUGAGUAACCUGCCUCCUUCUCCUGGAUAACCGCUUGAAAGGGUGGCUAAUACGGGAUGGUCUGGCUUGUCCGCAUGGGUGGGCCGGGAAAGGGUUUUCUGGUUGGGGAUGGGCUCGCGGCCUAUCAGCUUGUUGGUGGGGUGAUGGCCUACCAAGGCUUUGACGGGUAGCCGGCCUGAGAGGGUGGACGGCCACACUGGGACUGAGACACGGCCCAGACUCCUGCGGGAGGCAGCAGUGGGGGAUAUUGCACAAUGGGCGCAAGCCUGAUGCAGCGACGCCGCGUGAGGGACGGAGGCCUUCGGGUCGUGAACCUCUUUCGCCAGUGGAGCAGGCCGCCCCCCUGUGGGGUGGUUGACGGUAGCUGGGUAAGAAGCGCCGGCUAACUACGUGCCAGCAGCCGCGGUAACACGUAGGGCGCGAGCGUUGUCCGGAAUUAUUGGGCGUAAAGGGCUUGUAGGCGGCUGGUCGCGUCCGUCGUGAAAUCCCCUGGCUCAACUGGGGGCUUGCGGUGGGUACGGGCCGGCUUGAGUGCGGUAGGGGAGGCUGGAACUCCUGGUGUAGCGGUGGAAUGCGCAGAUAUCAGGAGGAACACCGGUGGCGAAGGCGGGUCUCUGGGCCGUUACUGACGCUGAGGAGCGAGAGCGUGGGGAGCGAACAGGAUUAGAUACCCUGGUAGUCCACGCCGUAAACGUUGGGCACUGGGUGUGGGGGCUCUUUCCGGGGCGCCCGCGCCGUAGCUAACGCGUUAAGUGCCCCGCCUGGGGAGUACGGCCGCAAGGCUAAAACUCAAAGGAAUUGACGGGGGCCCGCACAAGCGGCGGAGCAUGCGGAUUAAUUCGAUGCGACGCGAAGAACCUUACCAAGGCUUGACAUGGGCCGGGCGGCCGCGGAGACGUGGUCUCCUCUUUUGGGGCCGGUCCACAGGUGGUGCAUGGUUGUCGUCAGCUCGUGUCGUGAGAUGUUGGGUUAAGUCCCGCAACGAGCGCAACCCUUGUCCUGUGUUGCCAGCACGUGGUGGUGGGGACUCGUGGGAGAC